rnacentral:rRNA from 1 species
UACGGAGGGGGCUAGCGUUGUUCGGAAUUACUGGGCGUAAAGCGCACGUAGGCGGAUCAGCCAGUCAGGGGUGAAAUCCCGGGGCUCAACCCCGGAACUGCCCUUGAUACUGCUGGUCUGGAGUUCGGGAGAGGCGAGUGGAAUUCCGAGUGUAGAGGUGAAAUUCGUAGAUAUUCGGAGGAACACCAGUGGCGAAGGCGGCUCGCUGGCCCGAGACUGACGCUGAGGUGCGAAAGCGUGGGGAGCAAACAGG